CGUGUCGGCGGUCCGUUAAGUCAACUGUAAAAGAACUCGGCUUAACCGAGUAAAUGCGGGUGAUACUGGCAGACUAGAGUACUGGAGAGAAAGGUAGAAUUCUCGGAGUAGCGGUAAAAUGCGUAGAUCUCGAGAGGAAUACCGGUUGCGAAGGCGGCCUUUUGGCCAGUAACUGACGCUUAAGCGCGAAAGCGUGGGGAGCAAACA
rnacentral:rRNA from 1 species